rnacentral:tRNA from 1 species
GCGGAUUUAGCUCAGUUGGGAGAGCGCCAGACUGAAGUCAACUUUGGUCACUGUUAUCUGGAGGUCCUGUGUUCGAUCCACAGAAUUCGCA